rnacentral:rRNA from 1 species
GUCUACGGCCAUACCACCCUGAACGUGCCCGAUCUCAUCUGAUCUCGGAAGCUAAGCAGGGUCGGGCCUGGUUAGUACUUGGAUGGGAGACCAGUAGAAACUGCAAUUCCACAUGGAUG